CCAUGCCCUCUCUCUCUCUCUCUCUCGAUCGAAUACAGGUCUCCUUUUCUCGAAAAUUAGGGUUUAUACAUUAUAUAUAUAUAUAUGUAUAUAUAUCUUCUCAACUGCAAAAGAUAGAUCUCCACCGAAAGCACUUGAAGGUUGCUGUCUUACUGAAACUUUCCAGUUUCAACAUAGGUUGCAGGCGCAUGGGCAAAAUUCAAUAGUUGUAUUGUAUCAACUCCUGAACUUGUGUGCCUCUGAACGUGAUUAAUUUUGAUAUGACAAAUGCAAAAAGAUCCCCCAGUAAUUCUGCAGAGCCUUUUCAGUAGCUACGAUAUAAAGAUUUUAGCAUCCAUGGUUGGGCAUUGAGAUGGAAUCUAAGGUUUAAGCUUGGCAAUAUUUAAUAUGUUAUCUCCGUUUAUGGAUGAAUGCUUAGUAAGAUGAUUGAUAGAUGCAACAGAUGCUAUUUCGGAUAUCUGCAAUUUUAGUGAAGUGAUGCAUGGGGUUGGGGUGAAAACUCCUACCUUUAUGCCUGCAGCUCUUGAACAUGUGAAUCCACUCAAUCUGAAACUGUAAAGGAUGACACUUAUUUAGGCUUGCAAAGUUGCAACCGAUGCUGGAUCACUUGAAUCAGGCAGAAGAUGUUAAGUAAAAGGCAAUUACACUUGCAAAUGGCACUACUCAGGUAUUGCAAUGUUGUACUAUUGUUUAUCAAUCUGCACAACUUGCAGGUUUGAAGAGAGAUCUGUUCUUACCCCCCAAAUCAACUGUUCAUCAACUCAACCUCAUUGCUGUACUGUUGCUGCUUAUACGGUCCUGAAAUCAGCUAAUAGAUUUAUGGUUGUUCAAUGAAAACUGUACAUUAAAAUGAUUGAAUACAUCUCUGGCAAGUGUAAGGUAAGGAUUCAAAUCAUCACAUUCAUUCAUUUCCAUCAUUUAUUAUUGUUUGCAAAACAGAAAAACAAAACAAAGCAUUGGAAUCGGAAACGAUUAAGUGAGAAAAUAAAUAAGAGGGAACAUGGUGGAUCAAAACUGCUACUUGUGAUGAUUGCUUAAGAAUGGCUUGUAGGUAUUUUGGAUGGUGGGCAGCAAAAAAUCGAGGGUGAAUAAAAAUAAAUUCACCAUUGUUUUUGUGUUCUCAGUUGAUUACUUCUUUUUCCAUGGCUUCAGAAUAGAAAGUACAAUAAUGCCUGCAAUAAUCAGGACCAAGAAUAUGGCAAUUAUCAUGCAUUUUCUUGAUCUCUUCUGCAAGGCUCUGGCAGUGUGGAGGGCGUUUGUGCCCGUGUUCACAUGUUCCACUGCAUUUGUUACCUACAACAGAGGGAGAAAAGAAAGAACUGAUUGUUGAUUAAUCUCUGAAAUUCAAUUUAAUCCAAAGAGUCCCAACAAUAGUAUGCAGUAAUCUAACUUC